rnacentral:rRNA from 1 species
UACGUAGGGUGCGAGCGUUGUCCGGAAUUACUGGGCGUAAAGAGUUCGUAGGCGGUUUGUCGCGUUGUUCGUGAAAACCUGAGGCUUAACCUCGGGCGUGCGGGCGAUACGGGCAGACUGGAGUGCUGCAGGGGAGACUGGAAUUCCUGGUGUAGCGGUGGAAUGCGCAGAUAUCAGGAGGAACACCGGUGGCGAAGGCGGGUCUCUGGGCAGUAACUGACGCUGAGGAGCGAAAGCAUGGGGAGCGAACAGG